UCAGAUCGCAGUCUGCAACCCGACUGCGUGAAGUCGGAAUCGCUAGUAAUCGCGGAUCAGCAUGCCGCGGUGAAUACGUUCCCGGGCCUUGUACACACCGCCGUCACACCAUGAGAGUCGGGAACACCCAAAGUCCGUAGUCUAACCGCAAGGAGGACGCGGCCUAAGGUGGGUUCGAUAAUUGGGGUGAAGUCGUAACAAGGUAAC
rnacentral:rRNA from 1 species